GCAUCGGUAGCACAGUGGUUAGUGCAAUUUGCCGGAAACAGAUAGACACGGGUUCAAUUCCCGUCCGAUGUC
rfam:Nippostrongylus brasiliensis genome assembly, scaffold: NBR_scaffold0002473